rnacentral:rRNA from 1 species
GACGUAGGGCGCGAGCGUUGUCCGGAUUUAUUGGGCGUAAAGAGCUCGUAGGCGGCUUGUCGCGUCGUCCGUGAAAACUUGGGGCUCAACCCCAAACUUGCGGUCGAUACGGGCAGGCUAGAGUUCGGUAGGGGAGACUGGAAUUCCUGGUGUAGCGGUGAAAUGCGCAGAUAUCAGGAGGAACACCGGUGGCGAAGGCGGGUUUCUGGGCCGAUACUGACGCUGAGGAGCGAAAGCGUGGGGAGCGAACAGG